rnacentral:lncRNA from 1 species
CGCUCGCCCCGGGAGGGAGCCCGCGGCCAGGGCUGGACUCUCGCCCCGCCACCUCCACCGACUCUCUCCUCAGCCUCCGCGCCUGGCACCGCAGCAAGACUUGAAUGAAGUGAUCAUGUAAACUAGAGAAAGGAGAUUAAAAAUAACCUCUGGAUAUUCCUCUCAUGUGAUCUUUAUUCUGGAUGAAGCAUUAGGACAGCUAAUAGCCGUGUGUCACUGUUACAAUGUCUUUGAUCCUGUGAAUGGCAAGGAAACAUACAACCUCAGGGGGAAAUUCAGACAGAGAAGGUAUUUAAUAGAAAAGCCUCCAGACAACUGGAGUUUCUUUAGAUUUUGAAAUCAUAUGUAGACCUCUUAGCUGAGACUCAACCAGAAUCCACCAGUAAGGCAUUCAGCUUGGUUAUACCUGUGCUGUACAGAUGGCUACAUAUGUUGUCUGUCACCACAAUACACGUUCAAAUAUGAAUAUAUGUACAAAGAUUCAAAUGUCAAAUAUGUCUUAUAUUUUGACUUAUGAACUUAUUUAUUAUCUUACUAACUUGGACUUGUUAACCAGAGAAAUUACUUACAUAAUGAAAGCUCUUUUAAAAAUAUCCUAUUACCUUUUCCUCCCACAACUGAACACAUAAUUUGGAAAAAAGUCUCUGUGAAGGAAACAAUUAAAAUUUUGUUUUGCAUUUGUAAAACUAGAGUUAUUUUAUUUCCUAGAAUGUAACAAUAACUUACCCUUUCCACUUCAGAUUUUGAAAAUUUUAUUUGUAGUAACAUUUUACCUACAUCCAAAACAGGUGGUGGAUCUAAUUUAUAUUUUGAAUGGACAAAUAACGUUUUCUGAAAAAGUUGUAAGAUGUGCUUGCUUUAGCCGAGUCAUAAUUUUUACUCUUUCAUAGUCCCACAAAAACACGUAUUCGCGAUAUAGCUGAAUAAGGAAAUUGACUUAACGCCAAGUUAGCAAUCAAAACAAAAAUCAAACCUACUAAGUGUGUUACUUGCCCUACUUAAAAAGAAAUUGAGAGAUGAUAAUAUUUAAUAUGUCUUUUUAAAUAUAAUUUAUCUAGGUUAGAUUCAUAGAGAAAUUUCCGUGAAGGUAAAUAUUCCUCUACCAUAGAGAUGAUUUUAAAUGAAGUGAAAUUAUUUUUAAUUAAUAUCAUUGGUAACUUGCAACAGAAGGGAAUUUUCGUGUUACUUAAACCAUAAUUUUCUUCUAACAUGGCUUAGGCCAUUUAUCAGAACCAUGUUGUUAAAUGCAGAUUUGCAGAAAUACUUUUCAAUGAAAUAUAAGACUACGUGAUAUUUGAAACCAUCCAGUUUAUUUAACUUGCUUAAAACAGUGUUCACUUUAUACAAGUUCCCUUUGAUAAAAUCACUUAAGCGAACAUUUUUUAUAUCUAUGUACACAUGUAAAUGUGUGUCUUUUUAAAAAAUAACCAUGAUUAGAAUGAUGAGCAUAUAGAACUUUAUUUAUACCAAAAAAUAACGUGGUGUAAGAAAUGCUUUUAUGAAGCAAAAUGUAUCAAGCCCUCUAGUGGUGUUAAUGUAUAAGAUAUUUCAUUGUGGUGUUUGCUCAAUCAAAGCAGGCUUUUUUUUUUUCUUUCUCCAUUUGAGUGCAAGUAUUUAACAUGUUUUUGACGUUAGCUUUUUGUAAAUUCCAAUUUGCUCUGCUUGGCAGAUAAUUUGUAGAAUACUCUAGGUGGUUUUUCUAAAGAAAAAAAUCUUAACCUUAGGAUUAACCAUUUUAAAUAACUAAACUUAGUGAAUAAAUGAAUGGCCUGUUAGGAGAUAAAUCAUAAUUUUUAGAUCAGUAACUGUUAUUUUUGGGUCUAAUGUUAAAAGACAUUGUAGUGUUCCAUAUGCAUGAUGAUAACAAUACUUUUUAAAAAGAAAAUUUACAUAAUUUACAAACUUAGAAAAAAAAUCUUCAUUUAAAUAAACAACACAAUUAAGGAUAAAAAGUAGCUAAGACUUCCUUUGUAAUUCUUACUGAGAUCUUUCAUGCUAUCUAAAGUCUAAAGGAGGUUAAUGGUCUUAUUCAUAACUAAGGAUAUUUACACUGCACUUUUUUUUAAUUUGGCUCUUUUUAUAGAAGGCACACAAUUAGAGAGGAGACUUAGUUGGCAGAUCUGCAAAACGUGUUUCAGUUAUUAGGGCAUGAGUUUUAGCUUCAUGCCAGCGGUAUUUUUCUUUCUUUUUUUUUUAAAAACAAUUAAAGUAUGAGCAUUGGAUGUAUCUAGCUAGGGGAAACUGACAAAUAUCAUGCAGUAGAAAUGGAAAAGUAACAAUGAAAAGUUUAAGACACAAAGAUGAGUCUCAGAGUCUAUCUGUUCUCAAAGAUGAAUUUCUUGAUUUCCUGUCCUUUAUUUCAACAUUAUUUUAGACUCUGAAAUUAGGCUCAUAGAGUAACCACUGAAUACGCUGUGGUAGAAAGUGCUAUACUAGGUUUUGGAAGACCCAAAUCACUUCUCAGCUUCAUCCAGUUUUCUUUGUUGUAAAAUCAGAAUAAUCAUGCACUACCUAACCUCACGUGCUCACGAGCACUUCUGACACUGAUCACCAUUCUUUUGGAAAAGUGUACAUUAUCACUGCUUCUCAUCGAGGAAUACAUGCAGUUGGAGAACAUGUGGUCUUCUCCCUAAUAUGUGCACCCUCAUUCUUGGAAGUCUUCAAUUAAAACUGAUUUAAGUCAGGCGCAGUGGCUCACGCCUGUAAUCCCAGCACUUUGAGAGGCAGAGGUGGGCGGAUCAUUUGAGGUCAG